UCCCUUCAACUAUUUAAUGAAGGCUGGGAAGAGGAAACAGGAGUAGAGAUACCUGCCAGCAAAUCAACUGUACUUCGUGGCCAUGAAUCUGAAGUUUUCAUCUGCGCCUGAACCCAACAACUGAUUUAUUGGCUUCUGGCUCUGGUGAUAGUACUGCCAGAAUUUUGAACAUGAAUGACAACUCGUCUUCACCAACUCAACUUGUUAUUAGGCAUUUCAUUCAGAAGGGUGGAACUGAAGUUCCGAGCAACAAAAAUGUCACCUCACUUGACUGUGUGAUGGAACUCUGCUUGCAACUGGCUCUUACGAUGAUUACGCUCGCAUUUGGACAACUGAUGGAAGAUUAGCUAGCACUUUGGGACAGCAUAAAGGACCUACUGUCGCACUAAAAUGGAACAAAAAUGGCAACUAUAUCCUCAGUGCUGGAUUCGACAAAACGACCAUUUGGGACGCUUCAACGAGUCAGUGCACGCAGCAGUUUGCUUUCCAUUCCGCCCCAGCACUCGACGUAGAUUGGCAGUCGAAUGUCAGUUUUGCCUCAUGCUCCACUGACCAGUGUAUUCAUGUUUGGAAGUAAAAUCUAGGUAGCCUACAAUCAAUGAAACUGCGGUGUGCUGAUUGCGGCUGAUUUUUUCAAGCAUAUGUUAUCAAGCGAUCAAUUCAGAUCAGGUGUAAUAUCAAUUUUACAUUUUCCUGGACGCAAAAUUUGUUGUUUUGCUUUAAAACUGGAUCGACAAUCAACAGUAUACAGCCUUGACGGGGGAUCAAUCAGCACAUGGAAAAAUGAGGGUUCAAAUUAUUU
rnacentral:misc_RNA from 1 species